rnacentral:rRNA from 1 species
GAUGAACGCUGACAGAAUGCUUAACACAUGCAAGUCAACUUGAACUUCGGUUUGGGUGGCGGACGGGUGAGUAACGCGUAAAGAACUUGCCUCACAGCUAGGGACAACAUUUGGAAACGAAUGCUAAUACCUGAUAUUAUGAUUAUAUGGCAUCGUAUAAUUAUGAAAGCUAAAUGCACUGUGAGAGAGCUUUGCGUCCCAUUAGCUAGUUGGAGAGGUAACGGCUCACCAAGGCGAUGAUGGGUAGCCGGCCUGAGAGGGUGAACGGCCACAAGGGGACUGAGACACGGCCCUUACUCCUACGGGAGGCAGCAGUGGGGAAUAUUGGACAAUGGACCGAGAGUCUGAUCCAGCAAUUCUGUGUGCACGAUGAAGUUUUUCGGAAUGUAAAGUGCUUUCAGUUGGGAAGAAAAAAAUGACGGUACCAACAGAAGAAGUGACGGCUAAAUACGUGCCAGCAGCCGCGGUAAUACGUAUGUCACGAGCGUUAUCCGGAUUUAUUGGGCGUAAAGCGCGUCUAGGUGGUUAUGUAAGUCUGAUGUGAAAAUGCAGGGCUCAACUCUGUAUUGCGUUGGAAACUGUAUAACUAGAGUACUGGAGAGGUAAGCGGAACUACAAGUGUAGAGGUGAAAUUCGUAGAUAUUUGUAGGAAUGCCGAUGGGGAAGCCAGCUUACUGGACAGAUACUGACGCUGAGGCGCGAAAGCGUGGGGAGCAAACAGG